rnacentral:tRNA from 1 species
AUUUUAAUAAUUUAAGUUAAAAAUAUUGAUUUGUGGAAUCAAAAAUAUAAAAUUUUUAUUUAAAAUA